rnacentral:lncRNA from 1 species
GCGAGGAGAGCCGGGAAUGGAGGUCGUGGCGUGAGGGGCGCCGAGCGAGGGGAGGCGCGGGCCACGGGAGUUCCGGGAGUUCCGGCGUUGCCCGGCAGUCCGCAGUCCUCGGCGGGAAGGCUGUCCCGGCGCCUCAGGCAGCUCUGCGUGGGCCGGGGUGACUUCCUCGCGAUCCCCUGCGCGAGGUGAAGGGCAGGGACCUUUGCCGCGCCUUCCACGCGCCGUGCCCCACCGGCGAGUGGCUCCAUCUUCCUCAGACUUAUCGCUCGCGGACAGGCGCCGUGGGUCUCCCGGGCCUCCGUACCGUCCUCCUUCCCAGCGGCUCCGGGAAGCGGUUCCCUGUCUUCGGACGCAUUUCACCCGCGCGGGGAGAGCUUCCCGGGAAGGUUCCACGGCGGCCGAGGGUUUCCGCGCCCGGGACGCGUUUCGGCUGAGGCCGUGGGUCCAGUCCACGGGUUCUGCCCGCACGGUCCAAUGGCCGGGGAGGCGGAGGUGAGCAGAGGAUGCCUCCGAGGAAUGAGGGGGCCCACCAGGACUUGCACCUUCGAGAUCCCCUGUGUUU